CGACGGCGGGUACAAUCAGCAGCAGCAAUAGACCAGGGACGAUCAUCCCCAACGCCCAAAUGCCCCAGUCGAGAUGUACACCCAAAAUUUUAUCGGCGAAAUCCGCGGUAAGAAGAUUCGGAGCCAUCGCCGUAAUGAAGAUGAAGCUACUGACCUUCAUGACAAAGUAAAUGUUAGACAUCAAAUAGGAACCCGCUUUCUUGGAUGUUUCACCGGGUUCCGAGCCCAGGGCUUUCACCACCGAAAGAAUAAU
rnacentral:antisense_RNA from 1 species